rnacentral:rRNA from 1 species
AAUGAACGUUGGCGGCGUGGAUUAGGCAUGCAAGUCGAGCGAGAAGGGUUUGGUGCUUGCAUUGAACCUGGAAAGCGGCGAAAGGGAGAGUAACGCGUAGAUAUGUACCCUAGGGUCUGGGAUAGCGUCGGGAAACUGGCGGUAAUACCGGAUAAUGUCCCCGGACCAAAGGUUUACUGCCCUAGGAGCAGUCUGCGUCCUACUAGCUUGUUGGUGGGGUAAUGGCCUACCAAGGCCAUGAUGGGUAGCGGGCGUGAGAGCGUGACCCGUCUCACUGGGACUGAGACACUGCCCAGACACCUACGGGUGGCUGCAGUCGAGAAUCUUCCGCAAUGGACGAAAGUCUGACGGAGCGACGCCGCGUGCGGGAUGAAGGCCCUCGGGUUGUAAACCGCUGUCAGAGGGGAGGAAAUUUUGACCGAUCCUCAGAGGAAGUCCGGGCUAAGUUCGUGCCAGCCGCCGCGGUAAU